rnacentral:lncRNA from 12 species
GGCCUACAGGAUUCUGACAAGGAAACCAUGUUAAGAAUCCUGACCUUAAGAAGGGCUGAUAAAUAGAUUUUGCUAUAGUAACAAAAAGUUACUUUACAGCAUGGAAAGUUCUGAGUGAUGAAGUUCUAACAGCAGCAGGAAAGACAGAGACUAGCAUCCAACCUGCAAGGGAAAUGGGCCGGCUCCCCUUCCUGAGAAGGCUGGCCUGAUUUCAUACCUUCCCUGCAAUUUCCACCAUGAAAAUGGAUUAACUCCGAGGCAUUUUCUAUUCUGAUUAAACAUUUCUGUCUGUGGCGGUGUCAAGAUUGUAAAACACCUAAUACAGCAGUUAAUUAUAAUGCCAUGAACUACUUUAACCUUUACAAUUAUUUGUGUUUUCAGAGGCUGCCCCUCCCUCCCAGCCUUCCCAGGGUAGGAAACGGACUGACCGGCAAAUAAAACUGGGGCAUACUGAAGAGGUCAGAGACCAAAGUGACCUCUAGAGCGUGAGUGAUGCACAACCCCCAUGGACUAUUCUUGUUUUAAUGACCAAAUGCAGCCACUAAAUGGUCUUCCUGGUGUCAGCUCAUGACUGAAGAGAACAGAAUAUUUCUAGAAUCUUAGAGGUGGCUAUAGCAGAAGCCUCAUCAGAGCAAGAAAAGGGAAAAAAAAUAGUUGAAUUUUCCUUUUCCCAUCACUGCAUUUGCCACUUUGUACAUAGAGGGCAGAUUCAGUUACCAGCUACCGUGUUAAGGAUUGUGAGCACUGAGCUAACACCCAGCAAACUCCUACAGGGACAGAGCCUUAAGAUAGCAUCAGACUCUCUGCGGCUAUUCCCACCAAAGGGGAGACGUUCCCUCUGGAGCCAUAGGUUAAGACCACUGGGUUGCGUCCCAAAUAUUGCCAUGGAAAUGAACAUUUAGAGAACAUUCAUAGCUCAGAAAUAAUGCUUCUGAUUCCUCUGGUGAGCUGAGGUAGCAAGACUGAACUGAAGACACUUCUUAUGUUUCAUUUCUUGGGACUUCUGACUCUUGGGGAUAAAAAAAAUAGUUCCUGCAACAGACCUAAACAUGUGUCAUCCAGUAAGUCUGAUUGGCCAGUGACUGUGGACUCAGGUCAACCACUUGGAUCUUUGGAAACUUCUCAUCAAACUGUGUGACUUUUAGGCUCCCUUUCCUUACUUCCUUCUUCCACCACUCUCCAAUCCUUUGAAGUUAAGAACAUUUUAACAAGACUUGCAAGGCCUUUCCUGACCUGCUCUUGUCAGUCUCCCUACCUCCUCCUCCUGAAGGAAGCUCUGAAGCUCCAGUCUGACCAAGCAUGUUCAAUCCAGACAGUAUGCCAUGCACACUAUGCCAUCAUCCCUGAAUAUCAUCCAUCUACCCACCCUUUACCCAGUUCAACCCCACUCAUCUUUCAGGUCUCACUGUAGACCCUACCUCUUCUAGGAAGCCUUAGACAUUCUACAUCUGCAAGGGUCACCCUCUGAUGUGCUCAGACAGCCAGAUGUGGUGGUUGUCAUGCUCUGUAGUGUGACAUUUCCUUCUUUGUUUCUUCCAUAGGCCA